UACGAAGGGGGCUAGCGUUGUUCGGAAUUACUGGGCGUAAAGAGCGCGCAGGCGGUCAGAUAAGUCGAAUGUGAAAGCCCCUGGCUCAACUGGGGAGGGUCAUUCGAUACUGUUCGACUCGAAGGCAGGAGAGGGAAGCGGAAUUCCCGGUGUAGUGGUGAAAUGCGUAGAUAUCGGGAGGAACACCAGUGGCGAAGGCGACUACCUGGCCUGUUCUUGACGCUGAGGCGCGAAAGCUAGGGGAGCAAACGGG
rnacentral:rRNA from 1 species